rnacentral:lncRNA from 1 species
CCCUACACAAAAAAACUUCCCCUUACAUGAAUUAAAAAAUCCAUCACAGAAAUCAACAAUCAAAUAGAGACCUCACAAAAUUAAUUAACAAAGCAAUAUCAACAAGAAAUCACAUAUAUGAGUCAAAAGUGGAUAAACAAAUAGAAAAGAGGUAAAAAUAAACCUCAAUAUAGUUGAAGAUUGAUUGUUUCACUUCUUCAAACUCGAAAUAUGACACAAACCGUGAAUGGGACUACGGAUGGAACCUCGAAUCGAGCCGCAAACGGACUCAAUUUGGCUUCUUCAUGUUUCUGGAAUGCCAAUGUAAAUGAGAGGACUUCUACUUUAAGUUGACUGAAACGGGAUACUCAAGUUCUUUAAGAUAAUAUAUGAAAUUAGUGAAUACUUUUGACUUUUCCUUUCGAAAUUGCUGAAUUAAGGUAAUGAUGGAAAAGAAAAGGGAUUUUUUGGGUGGAA